GACGUAGGGCGCGAGCGUUGUCCGGAAUUACUGGGCGUAAAGAGCUCGUAGGUGGUUUUGUCGCGUUGUUCGUGAAAAACUCACAGCUCAACUGUGGGCGUGCGGUUGAUACGGGCGGGCUAGAGUUCGGUAGGGGGAGACUGGAAUUCCUGGUGUAGCGGUGAAAAUGCGCAGAUAUCAGGAGGAACACCGGUGGCGAAGGCGGGUCUCUGGGCCGAUACUGACGCUGAGGAGCGAAAGCGUGGGGAGCGAACAGG
rnacentral:rRNA from 1 species